GCCGGAGUAGCUCAGUGGUAGAGCACUUCAUUGGUAAUGAAGCGGUCGUGGGUUCAAUUCCCUCCUCCGGCUCAA
rnacentral:tRNA from 1 species